UGGCUGAUGUAUACCUGCAGGGAAUGGAAAACAGAACUUUAAGGUCUUUGAAGGUAACACCACCAGACUGCUGGUUCAGUUCCAGGGAUGGAACCUCAUGAGUAGAAUCCUUCACAGAAUAUAUCAAGUCUGCUGACAGCAACAUCAAGUUUGAAAAGGAGACUGUCAAGUCUGUAUGAACUGUGCUGGACAGAAACCUCAACAUUUUCUUUGCCUGAAACCUACAAACACAGACCAAUAACAGCUGUUUGGCUUCCAUUAGCCACUGGAACGUAAGCUGGAGGUUUGGUGAAACAGAUUUGGUAAACCAGCAUUUUCCUCUCCUAUGUAGCUGGAAUGUCUGUAAAACUUAAAAGAAUUCUCUCCAAACACAACAUACCAGUGCAGCUCCAACCCAGCAAUAUUCUUAGACAAAACACAGUCUGUCCUGAGGAUGAAGCAAUAAAUAGAGCAACGUUCUAUGUGCAGCUCAAUGCAGCGAGGAGUGGACAGACCUGUAUUAAGGACAGACUAAACAACUGUUCCAUAAAUAAGAACAUCAGCAGCUCACCUUUAUCUGACAGAUAAAGGACUCAGGGAUGUCCACAUUCUGGACAGAGAAAACAGUUGGUUUGAUAGACGAAUGUUAAACUACAACAUCCAUUUCUCAACAGGGAUGGUGGUUAAUGGCGCCACUUACCAGCUACAUACAAGGUAGUCCUGAGAGUCCUCCCCAGGCAGUUUCACUGCUAUCCACACCACGAGUCAGUCAGAAGUAAGGAGGGAGACGGUUGGAUCUAUAAUAACCCUCUGUGGAAGUCGACCUGACAUCAGAACACUGUUUCCUCAUGGACGAUAACGGAGAUGGCGCUCCCCUCGCUGAAGACGGAGGUCAAAGAAACGGAGCAGAGUCCUCCUCAGACCUUCAGACUCACUGACUAACAGGAAACUAGCAAGGUGCCAAAGGGAUCUCCACUGUUUGAACCAAGACGGUUUGGGACUCUUGGGACAGCAGUUCAGCAUUUUUAUAUACAGUUAAUAGUAUUACUAUUCAAAGUAGAGUAUUUCUAUUUUUCACCUUGCCAAGGCCUUUUUUUGCACAUGCACAGUAACGACGUCUGCCACCUACUUUGUAUUUUUUUUUUAACGAUCAGUCCGUUCUCUCAGACAUCGUUUGGUUGUGAGCUUUUAGUCUUUUAGUCACGCAGCGUUAGAAUGGAUCCAGUCUCCUGUAACACAUUAUACUGUAGCUGUAAACGAGUCUGUUUAUAAAGCACUUUUACCAUAGAAAUAAAGCUACUAUUUUAUAUCUAUGGCUUUUAACAAUCAGGGUGGUCUCUCAGAGCUUUACAGGAGGUAAGGUCACCUAACCAGAUUUAAACUAUUAGAAAUCCAGAGGUAAACAGAUGUACUACAUUAGAUGAUGUGUUACUAUAUAAUAUUAAAUGGUAUAUUACAGCAAGCUACUAGAAAGUAAAGGUCCUGAUUGUUUUGUCUGCACUAUGAAUGUAUUUAGGCACAUUUUAAUAGUACCGUAUGCUACUUUCCCAUCUUGUACUGUUUGCUACUACACAUGCUUACUGUGUUGUACCUUUUAUUUUGUCUACAAUAUGUCGCUCACUGAGUGAAACACCUCUGCCUGACAGAUGAUUUCCAUUACUACCUCUCUCAUUUGACUAUCCAGGCCAUUAUACGUGUUCUCUUCUGAAAGAAAAACCGUCGGUGUGUUUGUGGCUGAAUGCUCCUGGGUGCUCUAAUCUGUUUUCUAUCUGUGCCCCCUAAGAUAACACUUGUGUAAUUAGGCAGCCCCUGCACACCCAGCCCGAGGCCCCUGAAGUUAAUACGUAUCUUUAGGUGGCCCGUGGGGAUGAAUAUAGAUGAGGCUGCUUGCAGAAACACACAACCAUGUUCUUACAUCUGGGGGUCGCUGGAAGGUUGCUUCUGUGAAGAUGAGAGGACGAUCUACCAGAAUAACAAUCACAGGGAACUGGGGUAACCGGCCUGGUGGAUGGAAGAGGUAAUAUACGGCUUCAUAUUACUCACAUUUUACAGUCAACGGCCAACUUUAACAGAUCUAAACGAGCACCCCAACGAUUUUUUUUGUUUAUAAAAGGAUAUGAGCAUAAACUCCUACCUGCUUCCUUCAAUUUAAUUCUUAAAUGUGUUGUUGUGUUUUGUACUUUUAGCCAGGUGGAUUUACCAGAUGCCAUUUUGUAGCAUCCACCAUGACGGUCUAAUUACACCACAUUACAGCACCAUAGAUGGUCUGUGGAACAUGGACGGAGCCAACAAGAUGUGGAAAAAUGCUUCAAAACUUUAAAUUUGGUAGUUUACUAUCUGACCCAGAACUCAAGGUCACUACACAAACACUUAUUGUAGUGAAUCACAAUGUAGCCCCACCUUAACCCUUUGAUGCACAACAUGAGGCAAAAGUGACCAAUAUUCAAUGGAAAAUGGGUAUCUGUUGAGCAUUAAAGGGUUAAAGCACACCCUGCUUUAUGGUCCAGUUGACUCUAAAUGAUACCACCCAUCCAUCUAUAAUCCAUACAUCGUUUAAUCCUGUGUAGGGUUGCAGGGGGGCUGGACUCUAAAUGGUACCAUAAUUUAUUAAAUAAACAUCAUGCAUAUUGAAGGAGUCUCCAAACUACCAGUUGAGACCAUAAACUGACCGGGAAAAUGUUUGCUGAGGUGACAAAUCAUAAUUUUAACACUGAUUUCCCUUUUCAAACCCAAAGGUGACAUCCAUCUUUUACAGAAUGUAUGUGCGGUACAGAACAAAUUGCUUUUCAUGACUGUUUUCUGAUACUGGCCUAACAUGAAACUAACAAACAGCUAAACACACAUAAGGAUAUGGACUCACUGAAGUAGAUGGUGAUUGUGGAUAAACAAAGGACUGUACAUUAAUAAAGACCUUCUACCUUUUUUAAAUUAAA